rnacentral:rRNA from 1 species
CCUACGGGUGGCAGCAGUGGGGGAUAUUGCACAAUGGGGGGAACCCUGAUGCAGCGACGCCGCGUGGGUGAAGAAGCGCCUCGGCGCGUAAAGCCCUGUCAGCCGGGAAGAAAAUGACGGUACCUGAAGAAGAAGCCCCGGCAAACUACGUGCCAGCAGCCGCGGUAAUACGUAGGGGGCAAGCGUUAUCCGGAUUUAAUGGGGGGAAAGGGGGCGCAGACGGGGAAGCAAGCCAGGAGUGAAAGCCCGGGGCCCAACCCCGGGACUGCACUUGAAACUGCGUGGCUGGAGUGCAGGAGGGGCAGGCGGAAUUCCUGGUGUAGCGGUGAAAUGCGUAGAUAUCAGGAGGAACACCAGUGGCGAAGGCGGCCUGCUGGACUGCAACUGACGUUGAGGCUCGAAAGCGUGGGGAGCAAACAGGAUUAGAUACCCGGGUAGUC